rnacentral:rRNA from 1 species
GAUUAGCCAUGCUAGUCGUACGAGUUCACACUCGUGGCGAAUAGCUCAGUAACACGUGGCCAAACUACCCUUCGGAGAACAAUACCCUCGGGAAACUGAGGCUAAUAGUUCAUGCCAUACCACCACUGGAAUGAGUGGUAUGCCAAACGCUCCGGCGCCGAAGGAUGUGGCUGCGGCCGAUUAGGUAGACGGUGGGGUAACGGCCCACCGUGCCAAUAAUCGGUAUGGGUCAUGAGAGUGAGAACCCAGAGACGGAAUCUGAGACAAGAUUCCGGGCCCUACGGGGCGCAGCAGGCGCGAAACCUUUACACUGCACGACAGUGCGAUAGGGGGAUCCCAAGUGCACAGGCAUAGCGCCUGUGCUUUUCGGUACCCUAAGGCGGUACCAGAAUAAGGGCUGGGCAAGACCGGUGCCAGCCGCCGCGGUAAUACCGGCAGCCCAAGUGAUGGCCGAUCUUAUUGGGCCUAAAGCGUCCGUAGCUGGCCACGCAAGUCCAUCGGGAAAUCCACCUGCCCAACAGGUGGGCGCCCGGUAGAAACUGCGUGGCUUGGGACCGGAAGGCGCGACGGGUACGUCCGGGGUAGGAGUGAAAUCCCGUAAUCCUGGACGGACCGCCGAUGGCGAAAGCACGUCGCGAGAACGGAUCCGACAGUGAGGGACGAAAGCCAGGGUCUCGAACCGGAUUAGAUACCCGGGUAGUCCUGGCCGUAAACAAUGUCUGCUAGGUGUGGCUCCCACUACGAGUGGGUGCUGUGCCGCAGGGAAGCCGCUAAGCAGACCGCCUGGGAAGUACGUCCGCAAGGAUGAAACUUAAAGGAAUUGGCGGGGGAGCACUACAACCGGAGGAGCUGCGGUUAAUGAU